AAUAGAUACCCUGGUAGUCCACGCCGUAAACGAUGAUUACUAGGUGUCCGGGAUGUUAACCGUCCUGGGUACCGUAGCUCACGCAUUAAGUAAUCCGCCUGGGGAGUACGGUGGCAACACUAAAACUCAAAGGAAUUGACGGGGGCCCGCACAAGCGGUGGAGUAUGUGGUUUAAUUCGAAGCAACGCGCAGAACCUUACCUGGGCUUAACAUCCCACGACAAUCUCAGAGAUGAGACUUUCCCUUCGGGGACGUGGAGAUAGGUGCUGCAUGGCUGUCGUCAGCUCGUGUUGUGAAAUGUUGGGUUAAGUCCCGCAACGAGCGCAACCCUUGCCCUUAGUUGCCACCAUUAAGUUGGGCACUCUGAGGGGACCGCCGGUGUUAAACCGGAGGAAGGCGGGGAUGACGUCAAGUCCUCAUGGCCCUUACGUCCAGGGCUACACACGUACUACAAUGGCAGAGACAAAGGGUAGCGAAGCAGUGAUGUGAAGCCAAUCCCAAAACACUGUCUCAGUCCGGAUUGAAGUCUGCAACUCGACUUCA
rnacentral:rRNA from 1 species